UACGGAGGGUGCAAGCGUUGUCCGGAUUUAUUGGGUUUAAAGGGUGCGUAGGUGGCCUUAUAAGUCAGCGGUGAAAGUCUGCAGCUUAACUGUAGAACUGCCAUUGAUACUGUAAGGCUUGAGUACUGAUGAGGUAGGCGGAAUUGAUAGUGUAGCGGUGAAAUGCAUAGAUAUCGGGAGGAACACCAGUGGCGAAGGCGGCUACCUGGCCCACUCUUGACGCUGAGGCGCGAAAGCUAGGGGAGCAAACGGG
rnacentral:rRNA from 1 species